rnacentral:tRNA from 1 species
GCGCCCGUAGCUCAGUGGAAGAGCGGAAGCCUUCUAAGCUUUAGGUCGUAGGUUCGAAUCCUGCCGGGCGCA